UACGUAGGGUGCAAGCGUUAAUCGGAAUUACUGGGCGUAAAGCGUGCGCAGGCGGUUUUGUAAGUCUGUCGUGAAAUCCCCGGGCUCAACCUGGGAAUUGCGAUGGAGACUGCGAAGGCUAGAAUCUGGCAGAGGGGGGUAGAAUUCCACGUGUGAGCAGUGAAAUGCGUAGAGAUGUGGAGGAACACCGAUGGCGAAGGCAGCCCCCUGGGUCAAGAUUGACGCUCAUGUACGAAAGCGUGGGGAGCAAACAGG
rnacentral:rRNA from 1 species